rnacentral:tRNA from 1 species
UCUUCUUUAGUAUAAAAAGUACAUUUAUUUUUCAUAUAAAAAGUUAUAAGAAGAA